GAGCCAGCUUAGCCAAGCGGUUACUUUGGAAUAAUCUUUGCAGAUUCACCAAUUGCCUAACGAUAGUUUGAUAGCCCACAGGUGCUGUCUGGCUUUCUU
rnacentral:vault_RNA from 1 species